AAACAUCUAGGACAAAGACAUUAAUUUAAUAUCUCAAAGAUACACCCAGAUAUUAAAGGCUGAUUACGCUGGAAAAAGCAAGCUUGUAAAAAGUGUUCGUGUAAGUCAUUGCUAACACUAGAACCGUUAAGUUGAGCGAUCAAGGAAAUGGUUUUACCAAGGCCUCUUCUCGUCCUAACUCCUACUGACCACUCUGUCAAUUCAUAAAAGAAAAUAUGCGAGCAAUUCUUCAAAAUAUUGUACGCACAUAAAUCCAGUUUUCCCCAAUAUGAUUCGAUUACAGAAACAUGCGUGCAUUUAGUGUUCUCAACUUUAAGAUCUUCAACACAAAUAAAAUCAAUCGAAAUGCGAAAAAAAUGCUGACAUAAGGAAUGGUAUUAUUCCAAAGAUUACAGCCAAAUUUACAAAAAAAACAAGCAAGAAAGCGUCCCAUUUUUAAUGAAAGCAAAACAAUGCGAUAUUAAUUUUAAAAUAUACCAAAUUAAUAUUCUGCAAAAAGUACUAAAAACAUGCAAAAUAUGCCAAAUUGUCAGCCAAAGCAACUAAGACUCCUGAUUGAUGACAAAAAAAAGGAAGCAGAUAUGGACUAUCGCAAUUAAGAAAUAAGAGCUUUCUCCAAAGAACAUGGUAUUCUAACUGUAUGUAUUACA